rnacentral:rRNA from 1 species
UACGUAGGGACCAAGCGUUGUUCGGAUUUACUGGGCGUAAAGGGCGCGUAGGCGGCAUGACAAGUCACUUGUGAAAUCUCCGGGCUUAACUCGGAACGGCCAAGUGAAACUGUCAAGCUAGAGUGCAGAAGGGGCAAUCGGAAUUCUUGGUGUAGCGGUGAAAUGCGUAGAUAUCAAGAGGAACACCUGAGGUGAAGACGGGUUGCUGGGCUGACACGUGACGCUGAGGCGCGAAAGCCAGGGGAGCAAACGGG